UACGUAGGGGGCAAGCGUUGUCCGGAUUUAUUGGGCGUAAAGAGCGUGUAGGCGGCCUGACAGGUCUGCUGUGAAAACUCGAGGCUCAACCUCGAGAUGUCGGCGGAAACCGUCUGGCUAGAGUCCGGAAGAGGAGAGUGGAAUUCCUGGUGUAGCGGUGAAAUGCGCAGAUAUCAGGAGGAACACCAAUGGCGAAGGCAGCUCGCUGGGACGUGACUGACGCUGAGACGCGAAAGCGUGGGGAGCAAACAGG
rnacentral:rRNA from 1 species